rnacentral:rRNA from 1 species
UCUUGGUCAUUUAGAGGAAGUAAAAGUCGUAACAAGGUUUCCGUAGGUGAACCUGCGGAAGGAUCAUUAAAAAUGGUCGGGACCCCCCACAUAAGGUCCCCGAGCUUCAAACCUCCCUGAGUACCCAUCCAUGUUGCUUUCCCAGGUCAGCAGCCAUUGCUGCCCGUCCACCCAUGCCUGGUCACUGGACGGAGGUGCCUGGGGAAGGGCCCAAACAGAAACUAUGGUGCACACAGGCUGUCUGAGUUGGUGGGCCAUGUGCCCGGUUAAUUGAACAAGUUAAAACUUUCAACAACGGAUCUCUUGGCUCUCGCAUCGAUGAAGAACGCAGCGAAAUGCGAUAAGUAAUGUGAAUUGCAGAAUUCAGUGAAUCAUCGAAUCUUUGAACGCACAUUGCGCCCUUUGGCAUUCCUUAGGGCAUGCCUGUUCGAGCGUCACUAGCAACCUUCUCACGCAUCGCGUGGUAUUGGUGGAAGCUCCCCCGUGGCUCCUUGGAACUGCGGUACAGCUCUGCUGAAAUGCAUAAUCAGGACAAACAGGCCCCGACGAGUGACUUAGUAACUGUCGUGAAGAUGUAGACCAGUCAGCAGUCAGGCCUUGCCCUGCCCACCCAGACCCCCCAUCUGGUGUGAUCCUUUGGUUGACCUCGGAUCAGGUAGGCAUACCCGCUGAACUUAAGCAUAUCAAUAAGCGGAGGA